rnacentral:ncRNA from 2 species
GGUGAAGCUGCGGAAGGAUCAUUA